rnacentral:rRNA from 1 species
UAACGGCGAGCGAACUGGGAAGAGCUCAUGGCGAAAUCCGCCGUCGUUGCGACGGUCCGGAUAUUUCGCGUAUAGGAGAGACGCUUCCGAACGCCGACUCCGGUGUAAGUCCCCCUGACUGGGGCUCCUACCCCGAGAGGGUGCAAGGCCCGUAGCGGCCGGCGUCGGCUUCGGAUGUCCUCUCCGGGGAGUCGGGUUGCUUGAGAGUGCAGCCCCAAUCGGGUGGUAAACUCCAUCUAAGGCUAAAUACGACCCGGAGACCGAUAGCGAACAAGUACCGUGAGGGAAAGUUGAAAAGGACUUUGAAGAGAGAGUUCAAGAGUACGUGAAACCGUUCGAAGGUAAACGAGUGGGCCCUCGAAGCCGUAAGGCGGGGGGACUCAGCCGGGCGCCUCGGACCCGCCGCCGCGCGCGCGCUUCCCCACCGGGACGCGCCGCGGCGGAACCGGUCCGGGUUCCCGGCGCAUUUCCUCCCGCCCUCGGACGCUGCGACCGGUCGCGCGUGCCACGAGCGGUCGGCCUUACUCGCGGGGACCGGCAGGUAGCGGGGACCGCGCUUCGGCGCCUUCCCCGUGUUUAGCCACCCCGCGAUCGAGAGCCGUUCGCGCGACCGAAGGACUCGGCCCUCAGGGGCCUCUCCGCGCCUU